AUUGAACGCUGGCGGCAGGCCUAACACAUGCACGUCGAGCGGAGCGGCGGACGGGUGAUUAAUUCCUAGGAAUCUGCCUGGUAGUGGGGGAUAACGUCCGGAAACGGCCGCUAAUACCGCAUACUAUCAUAUGAACCUAGGUCGGAUUAGCUAGUUGGUGGGGUAAAGCCCUACCAAGGCGACGCUCCGUAACUGAUCUGAGAGGAUUAUCAGCCACACUGGGACUGAGACACGGACCAGACUCCUACGGAAGGGAGCAGUGGGGAAUAGUGGACAAUGGUCUAAAGCCUGACACAGCCAUGCCGCGUGUGUGAAGAAGGUUUUCGGAUUGUAAAGCUCUUUAGGGUGGGAAGCGUGACCAACAGAAUAAGCACCGGCUAACUUCGUGCCAGCAGCCGCGGUAAUAC
rnacentral:rRNA from 1 species